GACGAACGCUGGCGGCGUGCUUAACACAUGCAAGUCGAACGGAAAGGCCCUGCUUUUGUGGGGUGCUCGAGUGGCGAACGGGUGAGUAACACGUGAGUAACCUGCCCUUGACUUUGGGAUAACUUCAGGAAACUGGGGCUAAUACCGGAUAGGAGCUCCUGCUGCAUGGUGGGGGUUGGAAAGUUUCGGCGGUUGGGGAUGGACUCGCGGCUUAUCCGCUUGUUGGUGGGGUAGUGGCUUACCAAGGCUUUGACGGGUAGCCGGCCUGAGAGGGUGACCGGCCACAUGGGGACUGAGAGACGGCCCAGACUCCUACGGGAGGCAGCAGGGGGGAAUAUUGCACAAUGGGCGGAAGCCUGAUGCAGCAACGCCGCGUGCGGGAUGACGGCCUUCGGGUGGUAAACCGCUUUCGCCGGUGACGAAGCGUGAGUGACGGUAAUGGGUAAAGAAGCACCGGCUAACUACGUG
rnacentral:rRNA from 1 species